GACGAAUGCUGGCUGCGUGCUUAACACAUGCAAGUCGAACGGUGAAGGAGGGCUUGCCCCCCGGAUCAGUGGCGAACGGGUGAGUAACACGUGGGCAACCUGCCCCUCACUCUGGGAUAACGCCGGGAAACCGGCGCUAAUACCGGAUACGACCAGGCGCGACAUCUCGCCUGGUGGAAAGAAUUUCGGUGAGGGAUGGGCCCGCGGCCUAUCAGCUAGUUGGUGGGGUAACGGCCCACCAAGGCGACGACGGGUAGCCGGCCUGAGAGGGCGACCGGCCACACUGGGACUGAGACACGGCCCAGACUCCUACGGGAGGCAGCAGUGGGGAAUAUUGCGCAAUGGGCGAAAGCCUGACGCAGCGACGCAGCGUGAGGGACGAAGGCCUUCGGGUUGUAAACCUCUUUCAGCGGGGACGAAGCGAAAGUGACGGUACCCGCAGAAGAAGCACCGGCUAACUACGUGCCAGCCGCCGCCGUAAAAC
rnacentral:rRNA from 1 species